rnacentral:rRNA from 1 species
CUGCCAGUAGUCAUAUGCUUGUCUCAAAGAUUAAGCCAUGCAUGUCUCAGUACAAGCCAAAUUAAGGUGAAACCGCGAAAGGCUCAUUAAAUCAGUUAUGGUUCCUUAGAUCGUACCCACAAUUACUUGGAUAACUGUGGUAAUUCUAGAGCUAAUACAUGCAAACAGAACUCCGACCGGAGACGGAAGGAGUGCUUUUAUUAGAUCAAAACCAAUCGGUGGCGAGUUCGCUCGUCAUCGUACAACUUGGUGACUCUGAAUAACUUUACGCUGAUCGCACGGUCUCGCACCGGCGACGCAUCUUUCAAAUGUCUGCCUUAUCAACUGUCGAUGGUAGGUUCUGCGCCUACCAUGGUUGUAACGGGUAACGGGGAAUCAGGGUUCGAUUCCGGAGAGGGAGCCUGAGAAACGGCUACCACAUCCAAGGAAGGCAGCAGGCGCGCAAAUUACCCACUCCCGGCACGGGGAGGUAGUGACGAAAAAUAACGAUACGGGACUCAUCCGAGGCCCCGUAAU